AUUAAAUCUAUACAAAGAAUUGACAGUUCUUUCUAAGCUCUCAUAAGUACGAAAUACUUUUCGUUCCAAGCCUUUUACGAAAUACGAAUUCCAACACACACACUAUUUCCACAUUUCCGUUCCUAAAUUGGUGUCAAGUGAUUACCCAGCCCGUAUAGUGGUCACCGCAAAACACCUUUUUUACGAGAAGCACUGAGAGAUGACCUACAGUAACUUUCAACGUUAUUAUUUUUACAAAUAAAAAACGUUAAAAUACAGUUGAAAGUUACUACAAUAUGUUUACAAAAUUUCAUAUUAGUAAACUUAAAAGUAUUUUCAGGGAAAAAUCUUGAAAGAGCGCUUUUUGGUCCGCCUAACUUUAUGUGUAACACCCUAAAUAUGUGGGUAGUUAACUAACAUUAAAUAUUGUAAAAGCGUACUAAAUUUUAGCUACGUUUGAAAAGGCACGAGGUCACGAAUGCUACAUUUGUGUAAAAUACAAAGCUGAUAAUAAAAAAGAAGAAUAACAUGAGAGCUGCUAAGCAUCUAAUGCUGUCUGUAACAAGCGAAACGAGAUUCGCUAUUUUUAUACGAGACGAUUAUUGUGGUUUAACUAAAGUUUAAAAAUGCAAACAUAUACCCGACCUAA